CAGUCGCCGCGGUAAUACGAAGGGUGCAAGCGUUAAUCGGAAUUACUGGGCGUAAAGCGUGCGUAGGCGGUGAGUUAAGUCUGCUGUGAAAUCCCCGGGCUCAACCUGGGAAUGGCAGUGGAUACUGGCUCGCUAGAGUGUGUCAGAGGAUGGUGGAAUUCCCGGUGUAGCGGUGAAAUGCGUAGAGAUCGGGAGGAACAUCAGUGGCGAAGGCGGCCAUCUGGGACAACACUGACGCUGAGGCACGAAAGCGUGGGGAGCAGACAGGAUUAGAUACCCCUGUAGUCCCUGUCUCUUAUAC
rnacentral:rRNA from 1 species